rnacentral:rRNA from 1 species
ACUAAAUAGAUACCCCGGUAGUCCACGCCGUAAACGAUGGGCACUAGGUCCCUUGGGGGAGCGACCCCGUGAGGGCCGGCGCUAAACGCAUUAAAGUGCCCCGCCUGGGGAGUACGGCCGCAAGGCUGAAACUCAAAGGAAUUGACGGGGGCCCGCACAAGCGGUGGAGCAUGUGGUUUAAUUCGACGCAACGCGAAGAACCUUACCUAGGCUUGACAUGGCCGGGAAAGCCGGGGGGAAACCCUGGCCCCUCUUCGGAGCCCGGUCACAGGUGCUGCAUGGCUGUCGUCAGCUCGUGUCGUGAGAUGUUGGGUUAAGUCCCGCAACGAGCGCAACCCUUGUCACUAGUUACCAGCGGGUCAUGCCGGGCACUCUAGUGAGACUGCCGGUG